rnacentral:misc_RNA from 2 species
AACGCACAUUGCGCCCCUUGGUAUUCCGAGGGGCAUGCCUGUUCGAGCGUCAUUAUAACCACUCAAGCCUCGGCUUGGUCUUGGGGUCCCGCGGUCUCGCGGCCCUUAAAAUCAGUGGCGGUGCCGUCUGGCUCUAAGCGUAGUAAUUCUCUCGCUAUAGGGUCCAGGUGGUGGCUUGCCAAAACCCCCCAUUUUUCUAUGGUUGACCUCGGAUCAGGUAGGGAUACCCGCUGAACUUAA